GACGAACGCUGGCGGCGUGCCUAACACAUGCAAGUCGAGCGGGGAUUUAAGUGGAAGUUCUUCGGAAUGGAGAUUUAAAUUCUAGCGGCGGACGGGUGAGUAACGCGUGAACAAUCUGUCCCGGACAGGGGGAUAACACUUGGAAACAGGUGCUAAUACCGCAUAAGACCACGGCCUCGCAUGGGGCUGAGGUAACAGGAGCAAUCCGGUUCGGGGUGAGUUCGCGUCCGAUUAGCUAGUUGGUGAGGUAACGGCCCACCAAGGCGACGAUCGGUAGCCGGCCUGAGAGGGUGAACGGCCACAUUGGAACUGGGAGACGGUCCAAACUCCUACGGGAGGCAGCAGUGGGGAAUAUUGGGCAAUGGGCGAAAGCCUGACCCAGCAACGCCGCGUGAGGGAAGAAGGUUUUCGGAUUGUAAACCUCUGUCCUAUGGGACGAAGGAAGUGACGGUACCAUAGGAGGAAGCCCCGGCUAACUACGUG
rnacentral:rRNA from 1 species